UACGUAGGGGGCAAGCGUUAUCCGGAUUUACUGGGUGUAAAGGGAGCGUAGACGGCGCGGCAAGUCUGAAGUGAAAGGCAGGGGCUUAACCCCUGAACUGCUUUGGAAACUGCCAUGCUAGAGUGCUGGAGAGGUAAGUGGAAUUCCUAGUGUAGCGGUGAAAUGCGUAGAGAUCGGGAGGAACACCAGUGGCGAAGGCGGCCUACUGGGCUUUAACUGACGCUGAAGCACGAAAGCGUGGGUAGCAAACAGG
rnacentral:rRNA from 1 species